rnacentral:rRNA from 1 species
AUGUUUUUCCCUAUGCAUUCUCUGCUUAUGUUUAUAUUUUAUAUCACAAUUUUUUUAAUUACACAUAUUUGUAUGUGGGCUUUCUCUUUCCUAAUGUUUUUCCCUACGCAUUCUCUGCUUAUGUUUAUAUUUUAUAUCACAAUUUUUUUAAUUACACAUAUUUGUAUGUGUGAGAUUGGCAUGUUUCUCAUGUGUUCUAUGUUCUUUUUGGCUCUUCGUGACAGAGUGGUAGAGGUGCGACACCCAGCCAAGAGGAGGCUGCGUACAACUAAGAGCAAGGGAGAAACUUGGAGCGAUAAUUGGGACUAUUUUUCUUCUUGUCUAUUCACUGGCAUUGCUAGGCAUUAUAUGGCCAACUUACAAACUUAG